UACGGGGGGGCAAGCGUUGUUCGGAAUUACUGGGCGUAAAGGGCUCGUAGGCGGCCAACUAAGUCGGAUGUGAAAUCCCCAGGCUUAACCUGGGAACUGCAUCCGAUACUGGAUGGCUUGAAUUCGGGAGAGGGAUGCAGAAUUCCAGGUGUAGCGGUGAAAUGCGUAGAUAUACGGAGGAACACCUGCGGCGAAGGCGGGUAGCUGGGCCAACACUGACGCUGAGACGCGAAAGUUAGGGGAGCAAACGGG
rnacentral:rRNA from 1 species